rnacentral:rRNA from 1 species
GACUACGCUGGCGGCGUGCCUAACACAUGCAAGUCGAACGAGUUGUUUAGAGUAGCAAUAUUUUGAACAGCAAGUGGCGAACGGGUGAGUAACACGUAGAUAAUCUGCCUUUCAGACGGGGAUAACUCAGGGAAACUUGUGCUAAUACCCGAUGAGACUACGAGGGGGGACCUUCGCAGCCAAAGGUGGGCGAAAGCUCACGCUGGAAGAUGAGUCUGCGUCCUAUCAGCUAGUUGGUGGGGUAAAAGCCUACCAAGGCGAAGACGGGUAGCCGGCCUGAGAGGGUGAACGGCCACACUGGGACUGAGACACGGCCCAGACUCCUACGGGAGGCAGCAGUGAGGAAUUUUCCGCAAUGGGCGCAAGCCUGACGGAGCGACGCCGCGUGAGGGAUGACGGCCUUCGGGUUGUAAACCUCUUUUAUUAAGGAAAAAGGCAAUCGUGCUAACACCACGGUUGUUUGAUGGUACUUAUUGAAUAAGCCCCGGCUAACUACGUG